AGCUCCAAUAGCGUAUAUUAAAGUUGUUGCAGUUAAAAAGCUCGUAGUUGGAUCUCGGGUGCAGGCUUGCGGUUCUGCUCGUGUAGACACUGCUCGUCCUGACCUACCGGCCGGUUGUCCCUUGGUGCCCUUGACUGGGUGUCUCGGGCGACCGGAAAGUUUACUUUGAAAAAAUUAGAGUGUUCAAAGCAGGCAGUUGGCCUGAAUAAUGGUGCAUGGAAUAAUAGAAGAGGAUCUCUGUUCCCCUUUGUUGGUUUUUGGAACUCGAGAUAAUGAUUAAGAGGGACUGCCGGGGGCAUUCGUAUUACGGUGUUAGAGGUGAAAUUCUUGGAUCAUCGUAAGACGAACUACUGCGAAAGCAUUUGCCAAGAAUGUUUUCAUUAAUCAAGAACGAAAGUAG
rnacentral:rRNA from 1 species